CAAAUUUCAUUCCAAAAGUAACUCACGAGACAAGCAAGUUACAGCACAGGAAGUAGAAAACCCUAACCUCUCUUCCAUCUCUCUCUCUGCCCACAGUCCCACUUUACCAUUAAUCCAUAUCCCAUAUCAAUUUCCCAUUUUCUCCCAAAUCCCAUCAAUUUCAAACCAACAGAGAGCUGAGCAAACCCUUGAGUUCUUUCCAUUAUUUGCCCCUGCGUAUUUCCAUUCGAAGUGCGAAGUGGGUUCACUGGGUAGUGGCUAGUAGGUUCACUGGUCGUGCGAUUGCGAAGUGCGAGUCACGGAGUCGGGAUGUGCGAUUGUGAAAACUGCGAAGGCGAAGCCGUGUGCUGUCGAGUGCCGUCACUGUCACUGCCGUUGUGCAUGGGUCAGGGUGAGUUCACUGAUACUUCAUCUUCAUACUUGACAUUUGACAACUUGAAUUGUUUUUGUUGAAUGUUGAAUUCUAUUUGUUGGAAAUCCUUUUGUUCUCUGUUUUUUUGCGAAUUGCGAAGUGAAAUCAAAAUAUAUUUGUUGAAUUGUUGAAACUUAAAUGUUGAAUUGUUGAUUUGUUGCACUUGUUUGUUGCGAGUUGAGAGUUGCCUGCUUAAUGUAUUUUGGAUUUGGUACGUAGAAUUUAUUUACAAUUGAUAAUGUUAAAAGUCCGUAAAUGUGAGCUCUCAAGUAUGAAAGUAUGAAAAUGUGUACUGCUAUGAUGAUGACAAUAUCAACAGCAUGAUGUGCUUAUGUUUGCUAGAGGGGCGGGGGGAGGAUGGNNNNNNNNNNNNNNNNNNNNNNNNNNNNNNNNNNNNNNNNNNNNNNNNNNNNNNNAAAAAAAAAAAAAAGGUUACUGGUUGAUUUGCUAUUUUUUGGUGCUUCCAUCCUAAAUGGUUGGUGUUAAUGGGUUUUGGGUGCAGCAAUUUGGUGGAUGUUGAAGUAUUGAAGUAAUUGGCUUUACAAAGUCUUGGAUCCUAGGAGAGCGGGAAAGCUGGAAGGAGGAGAAAAACGUAUAUAUCCGUAAUUUUACAAAAUCCUGGAUCUUGGGAGAGCGAGAGAGCUGGAUUUGAGCCGAUGGCUUCAUUUUAUAAAGCCAUUGAAGGAUCUAGUUGCCAAGGUUUCGCCCAACUUCAAUAUCCCUUUCUUGUAUCUUGCAAUGAAUUGUGAGUGCAACAUCAAAUGCAGCUCCCUAGCUUUGCAUAGUCCUUUGGAUUUAAGACGUUAGACUUUCAUACUUCGUUCUUUGAUUCUAUGCUAUAUUGACCUGCUACAAAUACCUUGAUGCACAUUUAUGUAUGUUUUGUCUUGAAUGCUUCCAUUUGUUUGCUUAGUAUGUUGAUGCCCAUUUGUGCUCCUUCUACAGCCAAUUAUUUUUCUGCUCCUUCUACAGCCAAUUAUUUUUGCCCUGGUAUAUGUUGGGACAACUCUGAAGGAUCCCUCUGAUGUAACACAUGGAUGGGGUAAAUUUUCAAAAACACGUUGGGUAAGAGCACGUUGGGUAAGAGCCUUGUGGUGUAUUUUAUUUGGUUUUAGUUAGAUGAGCUCAUUCUCUUGUUUGUCCUUUCAUGUUUAAAAUAUGGUUGGAAUGUAUGUGUCUGUAAUUCUUGAGGGAAAGAACCUAAAAAUGAUUAAAUAAUAAACUAGAUUCUUGAGGGAGUAUAUAAUUUUAUUGGAUUUUGUUGAAUUUCAAAUUUUAGUUGAGCUCUUAAAAGAAUUCAAACCCUGAUAAUGAUGGAUAUUGUUAGUUAUGAAAAUGAGAUGAUAGCUGCUUUAUACACAGUUCAAGUUCAUUGUUGUAGCCUGAAUUAUGCUCAUUAUUUUUGGUAAUUGUAUCCAUCUUUCAUGCCACUGAAACGAUAAAAAGCCUUUCUUUCUGUUUUAACAGACCCGUGUUUUUACAAAAUCAAUGUAGUUUGACAUUAGCCUUUUUUUUUUAUUUGAUGCAGGCACUGAUUGUGUUGCGCUUUGUGGCUUCUGGUAUGUUUCAAAUGGAUACUCAUUGACCACAUUUUAUCAUCGUAUAUUUGGAGAAAUUCCCUGUAGAAAAAUAAUUAAUUGAGGAGUUAGACGACCAAUAUGAUUUUCUUUAUUAUUGAAAAUUGUUUAGCUUGAACAGCAUAUAUCAAAGACUAAACUAUUCUAGACAAAAUUACUCUUUUACAAAGGCGUUAUUUUGUCUAAUCCAGAGAUUUGGUAAAAAAAAUAAAUAAAUAAACAAAUAAAUCUUCUAUAUCUUACGACAUUUGGACAUCAAAAUACCAUUAGAACUUAAUUUUGGAUAAAUUUAAAUUGAGGCAAUAGAUUUUAGAUCCCAAAUGAAGACGCCUGUGUAAAAAUGCAUCAGUUCAUCUGCAGGCAAAGUGCUUAGUGUAACUAAUUUCUGAUUUUCAUUUUGAUAUAUAGUUCCGUAGAAUUUUUUUAUUUCUUUUGGCAUUUGAAAUAUUCUCAUGUUAUAUCAUUUAAUUUCCUUAAGAAUAUUGAUUCUUGUUGAGUACGGGAUAAGGCUUAGUACAAUGAAAUGUAGCUUUAAGAAACUUUUGUCUCCUUUCAUUUCAUUUCCCAAAAGAGCAAAAAGGAAAACAAAGAGAUAAAGUUAUAUAAAAUAAGAAGAAUUCUACAAAAGGAAAGGAGAAAUAUGCUUUCUUGGUAUCAGUUAGAAUAUAUAUCUUGUAGCAUUCCUAACGAUGGCAAAAUGUAAAAUUAUUUUGUGACGACCUAUUUGCAGAAAAGAAAACAUGUUCAUGGCAUUCUUAAAGCUGGACUUUUUUAUUUCAGAAAACUUUAUUCCGUCGCUUGUGCUUAUUGCUUGCCGUUGCAUUGCAGCUCCAUCAUUUACUCCAAGGACAUCACACUUGCCCGUGGUUCACAAUCAUUAUUUGCAAACCCUGGUUAGUAUCUUCAUAACUCCAAUAGUAUGCUGAUUAGUUCCAGAAAUCAUAUUGGUCUAUAAAACUCCAAUAUUAUGCUAGUUAGUUGAGCAUUCAUAUUGCCAAGAUGACAGGACAGACAAGAUAAUGGUACACUCUUGAUAUAGAAUUAUAAUGGUACACUCUUGAUAUAGCCUAAACAUUUUUGUAUACUUGUCACUUUUGCAAUGUUUAAAAAUAAAAAAUCCAAAAUACAAAUGUAUUUGCCCUAAACGGGAAUUAAAUAAGAGUACAUGUUUCAUCUUCAGAUGAUUAUACUUUUAUGUUGCAGUAAUAUUUAUGUUUAUUCAGCUUCUUUAGGUUUGUACUGGAGCCAAGAGUAUUGUGUCGUGUCGAAGAUUGUUGUCGAAGAUUUCCUCACAAAAAAGUACCUAAGCUCGUGUCAAAGAUUGCUGUGAAGAAAAUUGAGGAGGCCAAUGGGAUUGAAAAACGCACUACUUAGUUUGUCGUUUUUUUUUUUUUUUUGGGAAAAUGUAUUGGAUUUUUAGGUAUUUUAGAAUUUUGGAUCUAGAUUUUGUACGGAUAUUAUUAUAUUUUAGAGUUUAGUUAAUAAUGAUUAUUGG
rnacentral:lncRNA from 1 species